rnacentral:rRNA from 1 species
AUUGAACGCUGGCGGCAUGCCUUACACAUGCAAGUCGAACGGUAACGCGGGGCAACCUGGCGACGAGUGGCGAACGGGUGAGUAAUGUAUCGGAACGUGCCCAGUUGUGGGGGAUAACUGCUCGAAAGAGCAGCUAAUACCGCAUACGACCUGAGGGUGAAAGCGGGGGAUCGCAAGACCUCGCGCAAUUGGAGCGGCCGAAAUCAGGUUAGGUAGUUGGUGGGGUAAAGGCUCACCAAGCCAACGAUCUGUAGCUGGUCUGAGAGGACGACCAGCCACACUGGGACUGAGACACGGCCCAGACUCCUACGGGAGGCAGCAGUGGGGAAUUUUGGACAAUGGACGCAAGUCUGAUCCAGCCAUGCCGCGUGCGGGAAGAAGGCCUUCGGGUUGUAAACCGCUUUUGUCAGGGAAGAAACGCUCUGGGUUAAUACCUCGGGGUAAUGACGGUGCCUGAAGAAUAAGCACCGGCUAACUACGUGCCAGCAGCCGCCGUAAAAC